GUUGCCCUGGAAACGGAGCCACCGCCACAGAGAUGGCUUUGAGAGUCUGCGAAGGGGACCUGGUUGUGCUCUCUGGCGCUUAUGAUUUUUGCACCCUCCUCGGCACCCACUGCAAAGCCGACCGGAAUAACCACCCCGGAAAGAGGUGGUCGAAGUAACUCUGGCUCUGUGGGUACUCGUAACUUUUCGCGUGCCACUGUGUCCUUCCAUAAAUACACUGCUCGACUCUGGGAAUUCGAAGAUGAAUGAGGCACACUUCCUGUCUUCGACUUGCUGAGAGUUUUAUAAAGGCUGUGCGCAACAUACGUGACAGUGUAAAUGUCGUUUGGGAUUACAAAGAGUCCUAUACUCAAAUUACCAUUGAAGCCAACCAGGGACAGUGCUUUCCCCAUCAGGCCAUGAUGAAACUUGCCCUGAUUAUUGGUUAAGAAACACUGGAGGGGAUUGUGGUAAGUUUUGAGAAGAGGAAGAAUCAUCUUGGAAGGCGUCCUCCACUGGUAAGACUUCUACAUGGUCUUCAAGCAGAGGGAGGCCACUGUCCUCUAGUAAGGGGGCAUGCACCACUUCUGUGUACAGAGCAUCAAGAAGUUGGCUGAAAAGAACAAAGAAGCUCCCAAUCAAAUAUCCAAUAAA